CCCCCGCGCCCCGCCCCGCCACCACCCAGUAGCGCUCCACGCUGAGGCCGGUGAGCGAGAAGACGCUGGCGUACAUGUUGAGGGCCACCAGGUAGCUGCUGAGCUUGCAGAGCGGCCGCCCGAACGGCCAGUGGUAGCCCUGGGCGGUGUAGGCCGCCCACAGCGGCAGGGUGGCCACGAAGGCCAGGUCGGCCGCCGCCAGGCUGGCGAUGAGGGAGUCCGUCAGGGAGCGGCCCGGCCGGGAGGGGGCGGGCGAGGAGGAAGAGGAGGAGGAGGAGGAGGAAGGGGGGGGCACCCGCGGGAGAACGGGGCAGGCCCGGCGGAGCCGGGGCACCGAACAUCCCAGGUACAGCCACAGGACCAGCGCGUUCCCCAGGGAGCCCAGGACGAAGGCCAGCAGGUAGACCAGGGGGAUGAGGACCCAGCACAAGUCCCGAUUUCAAUUAUUGGCCCCUGAGCUGCAACAGGGACAGUGCUAUAGCAUUUCAUCGAUACCUCUGGCACACGGAGGAAAUCGGAAGUGUUGAGCUGGCAGGAAGGCAAGGACUGAGGAAAUCUAAGGAAGAUUACCAGAAAAAGAGGGAGUCUGUUUGGUAGUUAUUGGGAGUCUGUCUCCCAGUAAUGCUCCUUCUGUCUACAGUAUAUGUACAUAUUUUAUAAUAUGUCUUUGUUGUAAAUGUCUGUAAUGUGUCUGUAGAUUUUAUUUUACUUUUAUUUUUUGUUUUGUUUCAUGGGAAUUUUGUUAUUUUCAUUUGCUUUGGCAACACUGAUUGUACCCAUUGGUCA
rnacentral:lncRNA from 1 species